GGGGCGGGAGGGGGCGGGCCGAAGGCGAGUGACAGUCUCUUGCACCAAUCGGGAGGCCCAGGACGCGCUCGAGGAAACCUGUUGAACGAGUCCGGGCUGGGGGGAAGGCAGCUAAUUGGCCACGCAGGUGAAACUGCGCCAAACUAGGCUCCGUAGAUGUAACCUCCCGAUGUGGGGGGCUGUUUGCCUCCCCGACUGGAACCCGGGAGUUUGAGAAGCGGGCGGCCCGGCUGCGUCUCCAGGAAAUGGUUACGCCUGCGCGAGGCGCUCUCGCACACAGAUGUGCUGUGUGGGCUGGCUUGGGGCCUAGCCUAAAUGAUUCACACAGGAUGUUGCCUCAUGGGGGACUGCUCCGUCGAGGCUUCAUUAGUAGCCUUUCGGAACAUCAUUUCUUGUUUCUAAUAUCAAAGAGGAGUUCUAGCUGUUACUUUUUCCAGUUACUGAACCAUGUCCAGUAGAAAAUGCCUAAUCCAUCACCUUUCAGGAGGUUCUGGAGGAGUCAGCUGGAUGGUUUGAACUAAAGAGCAGGGGAGCUGGUGUUUGAAGCUUCCCAUUUGUGUUGACACUGGUGCCUUCAACUCCCCAUGGGAGCUGCCUUGUGGAGAAGUAAGGCCUCUUCUCUUUUCACUUCUCUUCACAUGUGCCUUCUACCAAAUACCACUACCAUGAAAAGGAUGUGUGUAAGACCAAGGCUUUGUUUCCUUGGGUUGUGUUGUGGGAUACUGGGAUUUCCUGAUUUCAGGGAAGGUAGCUGUUAUUUUUUGGUUUCCACUUAGAAAAUCUAACCUUGGCAUUUCAAUAGCGCUAGGCUAUUGUUUUCAGAAGGUUGGUAUGUAGAAUGUUGAGACAGGUUUUCUAAAAAUGUGGACUAUAGCUAUCAGAUCAGACAUUAACAUUCCAUCUUCUUUUGGCAAAGUUGGGAUUUUUUU